rfam:Salmo salar isolate Sally breed double haploid chromosome ssa10, whole genome shotgun sequence.
AAUAUUCCUAAUUGUAAGUUGCUCUGGAUAAGAGCAUAUGCUAAAUUACAAAAC